UACGAAGGGAGCUAGCGUUGUUCGGAAUCACUGGGCGUAAGCGCACGUAGGCGGACUUGUCAGUCAGGGGUGAAAUCCCGGGGCUCAACCUCGGAACUGCCUCUGAUACAGCAAGUCUCGAGUCCGGAAGAGGUGGGUGGAAUUCCUAGUGUAGAGGUGAAAUUCGUAGAUAUUAGGAAGAACACGGUGGCGAAGGCGGCCCACUGGUCCGGUACUGACGCUGAGGUGCGAAGCGUGGGAGCAAACAGG
rnacentral:rRNA from 1 species